GUGCUUAGUGUCACUGAUAAAGGGCUAAAGGAAAGGUUGUUGAGGAAAGUGGAAACCUGAUCUGGGCUUGCAGAAAGGAAUAGGCAUUCACAGAGCCUCACCAGCCACAAAGACACAACUAGAGAUCCCGUCUGGGCCACAUACUAACAAGUUUGUAGAGGCUCUUACACAAAAGAAUACUCAUGGGGAGGGCCCAGCUGAUGGUGAGUCAGAGCAAAGCAGACAUCAACCACUCACACAAAAACUCUCUACACACUGUGGUACAACACACCUAGCCUAUGGAAAAACAUGCCACAAAUGUGGAAAAUUAAAUCUCUAUUCUAUUUGCAGAGCAACACACUUAUCUGUGGCUUUGCCUUUUGGGUCUCUGACUGAACUAGAAUGUGAACAAUCCCUUCUUGUGUGUACAGUAUCACAGGGAAACAGAAAUUAUAUAGCUCACUCACAGAACCUUGGUAUUCUUGACUGUAUGUAAGGAAGGUACCUAUGAAGUUUAAUCUUGAUAUUGGGGUGGAAGCUAAAUGUUUUCCAAUUCAGUGUUUGAGAAAGAUAGCAGGUCCCAUCUAGAUAAAGCAGCCUGAUGUUGUGCUUAUAGCAUAUGCUGAUACCAGAAUAUACUCUGAAGGGGAAGUCACUUUAACAACAGCAACUGUUAAAGCUAAGGUCAGUCGUCAAUUGAAGACUUCAUCACUAAGGCAUUUACAACACUACUGAUAGGCAGAGAAACCUGCAUAUGGGUACACCUAGUGUGUAUGAAUGAGUAUGCUGCACACCAAAGCACACAGCACUAAAGUAGAAUUGAUUGCACAAUACCUGGGAUUCUUCAGGGGACUAGGAGAGUUCUGUGGGAAGCAUCGCAUAUAUACAGACCCAUCAGUCACCCUUGUCAUACAGUACAUGGCUGCAGAACUGCACCUUUUGCAGUGACAGACUCAGAAAUUCACUCGGACAGUUAGAAAAGGAAAAAGUCAUAGCCAAAGUGAACUCACCCACUCCAUAGGUUAGCAGUUUAAUCAUAACUGGGACAAAAUAUGGCAAGACUGUCUUGAUCCCAGAUGCCUUAAGACUAUAUUGAGACAGCAUUAUUCUGUCCCCACACCAACAGAUGUCCAUUGCUGACUAGCUGGUAAAAAAGCGUAUUUAUUAUGCUAGAUAAGAAAGAUGGAUAUUGAUAAGUCACAUUAGAUAAUGAGUCAUAUGAUCUUUGCACUUUUACUACACUCUGGGACAGAUACAAGUUUCUCUGUUUACCUUUUGGAAUAAGAGAUACGGUGGUUCAGUAAAGAUAAUGCCAUAAUAAAUAGACAUGAGGAAUGACUAAGAGAACAUGCCGUUGUUUUCUGUUGUGUUCCAAUGGUUUGAGUUGCACCAUUUAUCUGCAUGCACACCAGCUGCCUUUAGGUGUAACUGUAUUGAAUGGUGGAGCAGUUGGAGCAAAUUGGCUGCUCUGUCACUGUGGUAUGAGGAGAGUUCCAUCUGUACUUUGAGGGAUCAAGUAUUCCUCAUUUCAGCACUGAGUUUGUAGGCUUUGUCAGUAGGGGGUGCUGGGAGUGUGUCUUGCUAUGGGGAUUGUCAGCCAUCUGGUGGUCUACAUGACUAGUCUCCAAGCCUUAGUGAGGAGUCAGUGAAGGCAGUGUCUCAGAAGAAAUCCUCAGGCUAAGGGUGAAGAGGCCUGGAAAGAAGGGACUCAGCAGGGGAGGAAGAAGAUGACAAAACUGAUCACUAGAGCUGAAGUUGCCGAUACCUAGGUGUGUGAGACCUGCUGUGGGGCAGUAUCCCCAGUGCAAGAGAUUGACCAGACUGCUUUAGUAACAAGGCUGCUCUUCUAACUGCUGAAAUUACUGAGAGGUGUGUUAAGUGGUGGGACAUCAAGGCAUUGCAGAGGUUGCAGUAGAGUGGCACAGUGGUGGCGUGAACAACGAUGUGGCCAGCCGCCGAGUGACUGGCAAUGAAGCAGCCAGUGGCAGGGUGAACAAUGAAGCAGUGGCAGCAGCAGGCAGCAACACAGAGUGAAUGGUUCAGCCCCUUCCCCAUACCCACUGUGGUGGGAGGUGAACUCACCUGAACGCACCUCUGAAUUCUGCAUCUUUGCUGACCAAGUACAACAACUGUGAGUGCAAUGUGGUGGAGGGAGAGGGGAGUGGCAUGUUAAAGGAACACUUGUUUGUCGGACUUUCACACUGCAAGGUGAGAACCUGAGGCAAAGAACACUGCCCAGUGUAUUGUGGGGUGGGGGUUUUGCUCACAGUCACAUGCUUGUGGCGUUUCCCCAGCUUAAUGCUGGCUUCCUUUUCCAUAGAACUUUUCCAUAGAAAAGUUUUCUUUUCUACACCAAGACUCAGUAUUUGCCAGAGGGGAAGUAUUGACUCUUAGAGGUGCCCAAGGGCAGUGUAAUUUUUCCCAGAUUACCGGUGGGGACUCAAGCCAGUUCUGUAUUCUAUUGUUAAGAGGGAUCCCUAGAUAUUGAACCCAACCUCACCUGGCAGAAGGGUUACAUUAGUAAAAACAGUUACUCUACUCUAAAGAGCUAAUGGAGAGGAUAGAGGCAGAUCUGUCAGAAAGGUGUUUGAGAACUGCCACAGUAUUAAAUGCAGGAUGGGAGUGACUGGGGUUUUAUUGUCAGGAUUAUUUUCCCUUUGUUAUAGACAAUCCUGAGAUACAACAUCCUCAUGCCCAAAAAGAUAUCUGGGUUCAAUCUCUCUCUGCAGACAGUGAAUGCUUCCUACACAGCAGCCUUGCAGCAAAGUUUGAUCUGCUCCUUUCAGCCGGGUCACUUCCCACCAUUGCCCCAGCUCCCUGACUGAUAAGAACUAGCUAACUGGGAAACGGGGGAGGGGAGGGUUUAAAACAGGACUAUAGAUUAUAAAUAUUGUUACAAAUCUGGAGCACUCAAGGACUUCCUUGUUGUCACUCUGCAUGGCCCCUGAGGGCUGCACUGUGACUGUGUGCAUAGGACUUGGCUUCUCCUACCCCAAAAACCUGGGCCUCAAUGACUGGAGCAAAAGGAGAUUCUCCCCUAGAUGUUAGCGGUAUAGAGUCUACACAACUAAGCAUUUCUGAUUCUAUACAGCAAUGCCCUAGAGUGCAAAUAUAUACUAAAUAGUUGAGUACAGUGUUAGUGCUGUUUUAUAAUGGGGAUGAUUCCUCCCUGGGCUCAGUCGUUAAGUAGUCCCAGCCCUGGUAUGGGGCCAUAUCCCCAGGGCUUCCUCCCUGGAGACACUAUCUUCCUACAGCUGGGCUCAGUCCUUUCUCAGUCCCAGCAGCCAGCCAGGAGCUCCUUCAUUGCUCCCCCAGUCCCUGCUAGCAAAUUGUCUUUGGCUCAGUCCUAGCAGCCAGACAGGAGCCUCUUACUCCCCUGAUCCCUGCCCCCACUUAGCUGCCUGUGCUCCUGCUGCUUUUCCAGCCAGGCACAGAGUCCUUUCUUGUCCAGCUCCAAACAGCAACUAACUGAUGAUCUGUUCUGCAGCUCCUUUUAUAUGGCCCUCCUGGCCCCUGAUUGGCCAUUCCAGCAGCCCCUCUGAUUGGUUACUUUCUCGCAACCACUCUAGGCCUCUUGGAGGAUCUCUCCACAGCUCCUUUCCUGGGAUGGGUGUGGCAAACCCUGAGGCCUCCAGCUGGGGUCUUUGGGCCUACUCCACCCCAUCACAGGCUCCCAGAUAACAAAGUCCAAUAAUUUUGGAUCGUGUCCCUGUACUAUAGUCCUAGUCAAACACUUGGAACAUUAGUUCCCUCACCCUGCAUGGAACUUAGGGUGUUUCCCUAAAGCAUAGUUUCUGUCUCUAGGUAUUUAUAGAGCACCAGCACUAUAGAAGCCAGGCACUGUAUUAAUAGGCCUCCUUUCAUGCCCUGUCCCUCCAGGGGGCCCUUCGCUACCUUCUCUCUCCUCCAUGUCAUUAAGUAGCCACAGUGCAACAGCUAAAUCAGAAAGGUCUUCACAGGCUAUUCAUGCUCUGGAGCAGAACGUUUCCUCCUCAUUCAUGAUCUAGAUUGAUUCAGUCUCCCUGGUUUCAGUAAUGCCGGAUAUGCAAUAGCUCCAGCACGGCCACUGUUGAUGGCAAGAUGCUCUCAGGCUUCAUCUCUCUCGGAUCAUCCCUGCGGAAGGUAAACAAUGGGAGCAACGUGAAUAAACUGCCCCAGAGGCAGAGAGGGUUACAGGCUGUUAUACCCUGGGCUGGAUAAAAGGAGAGGACCGGGCCAGGCAACCAGUGUUCUGAGCAUUGUGGGCAUUCACUGGAGCACACUUGGCUCAGGUCACAUUGCUAUCCCCUUCAUUACAAUCAGUAACUCACUUAAUGAAACGAAAACUACACACAACUUGAGUAUAAUGUUUGUGUCAAACUGCUGCAGACUAGCUUAGGCCACACACAUACAACCUAGAGACAGAUUUUAUAGAUAUCUAGGUAUUUAAAUACCUUUGAAAAAUUGCCUCCAGUGAUAUUUUGCAGUUCCCACUUUGACCACUAGAUGCCACAGUUCUUUCACAGGAAUAGAAUUGCCACUACUCCCAGUAGCUAAGGAAGUGGUGGGUCAUAAUAUCACCACAUGGGUAUUUCUGCAGGAUCUGGGACGCGUCUUAUGUUUAGUGCUCGUUAAUAAUGGAUCCUCUUUUCCAUUUCCUUGUUUAAAGCUUAAGGAUGAUUGUGUGAUGAUGCAGAUGGAAACCAAGAACAACUGUGUCCCCUUCUACAUGGAGAACAUAAAUUCAAAGAGAGAUUUUCCCCCUGGUGUUAUAUAUGUCUACAAGCUUUAAACAGAUGCCUUUUGAAAAUUUUUAGUCUCAGGGCCAAAAAUCUUAACAAGACAACUGUAAAGAAACUGAUUGGAUGAACAGGGACUCUGGGGUGAUGGUGCCAUGCAAGGUGGGAGCCCCAUGUAUUUGGAAUCCACCUCAGUAGGUCUUUGGUGGAGAGAAAUUGUUAUUAAAAGAUAACAUCUAAUUACCUCCUCUGUCCUCCCAUUCCCAGGUCUCACAAAAGAAUAUCAGUUUCUCUUUCUCAGCUGAGCAAGAACUUUCUUUGUCCAACAUCGAACCAGCUUCAGUGGUGAUAUGUGAUUACUAUAAAAGAACUGUAGGGAUGGAAACAAACUCUGCAUUUUACCACUGAGGAGGCAAGAGGUCAGCAUACUUGUAUCACGAAUGGAAGAUUACAGCCUAGCUUGGCUGUAAUACGCUGGAAGGAUUUUGCCAAACGUCUUGCUGAGUGCAGCACAGCCUGUGGUCAGACAUCUCACCUGGAAAGCAGCUGCAAGUCUGCAGCGAUUAGAGCAACAUGACAAACAUGGAAUGUGAACUGAGGAAGGAAGCCGGACAGCUUAUUUCCCUCUGACUAUAAACUGUUAGUAAGUGUUACACCUACAGUCUGACAGACCACACGCUGUGACUGUGCGGUAGGUGAGUUGGCUAGAUUCAGCUCUAAUGUGUAGGUCCCCUCCACGAACUCCCUCCAGCUCUAUAAGACCACACGCUACCCUGGUUCCACGGUCAGACUGAGAACAGUAAUUGGUCAAAGCAUGCAACAUUUCCCAUAAUAAACUUCUCAAACUCCA